AAUGAACGUUGGCGGCGUGGAUUAGGCAUGCAAGUCGAGCGAGAAGCGUAGCAAUACGUGGACAGCGGCGAAAGGGAGAGGAAUACAUGGAUACCUACCCUCAGGUUCAGGAUAGCUAUGGGAAACUAUAGGUAAUACUGAAUAAUAUCUCCGGAUCAAAGGUGUGAUUCCACCUGAGGAGGGGUCCAUGUCCUAUUAGCUAGUUGGCGAGGUAACGGCUCACCAAGGCGAAGAUGGGUAUGGGAUGUGAGAGCAUGAUCCCACUCACUGGGACUGAGACACUGCCCAGACACCUACGGUGGCUGCAGUCGAGAAUCUUCGGCAAUGGGGGCAACCCUGACCGAGCGACGUCGCGUGCGGGAUGAAGGCCU
rnacentral:rRNA from 1 species